UGUUUCGGCAAGGGGGUCAUCCCGACUUACCAACCCGAUGCAAACUGCGAAUACCGGAGAAUGUUAUCACGGGAGACACACGGCGGGUGCUAACGUCCGUCGUGAAGAGGGAAACAACCCAGACCGCCAGCUAAGGUCCCAAAGUCAUGGUUAAGUGGGAAACGAUGUGGGAAGGCCCAGACAGCCAGGAUGUUGGCUUAGAAGCAGCCAUCAUUUAAAGAAAGCGUAAUAGCUCACUGGUCGAGUCGGCCUGCGCGGAAGAUGUAACGGGGCUAAACCAUGCACCGAAGCUGCGGCAGCGACGCUUAUGCGUUGUUGGGUAGGGGAGCGUUCUGUAAGCCUGUGAAGGUGUGCUGUGAGGCAUGCUGGAGGUAUCAGAAGUGCGAAUGCUGACAUAAGUAACGAUAAAGCGGGUGAAAAGCCCGCUCGCCGGAAGACCAAGGGUUCCUGUCCAACGUUAAUCGGGGCAGGGUGAGUCGACCCCUAAGGCGAGGCCGAAAGGCGUAGUCGAUGGGAAACAGGUUAAUAUUCCUGUACUUGGUGUUACUGCGAAGGGGGGACGGAGAAGGCUAUGUUGGCCGGGCGACGGUUGUCCCGGUUUAAGCGUGUAGGCUGGUUUUCCAGGCAAAUCCGGAAAAUCAAGGCUGAGGCGUGAUGACGAGGCACUACGGUGCUGAAGCAACAAAUGCCCUGCUUCCAGGAAAAGCCUCUAAGCAUCAGGUAACAUCAAAUCGUACCCCAAACCGACACAGGUGGUCAGGUAGAGAAUACCAAGGCGCUUGAGAGAACUCGGGUGAAGGAACUAGGCAAAAUGGUGCCGUAACUUCGGGAGAAGGCACGCUGAUAUGUAGGUGAAGUCCCUCGCGGAUGGAGCUGAAAUCAGUCGAAGAUACCAGCUGGCUGCAACUGUUUAUUAAAAACACAGCACUGUGCAAACACGAAAGUGGACGUAUACGGUGUGACGCCUGCCCGGUGCCGGAAGGUUAAUUGAUGGGGUCAGCGCAAGCGAAGCUCUUGAUCGAAGCCCCGGUAAACGGCGGCCGUAACUAUAACGGUCCUAAGGUAGCGAAAUUCCUUGUCGGGUAAGUUCCGACCUGCACGAAUGGCGUAAUGAUGGCCAGGCUGUCUCCACCCGAGACUCAGUGAAAUUGAACUCGCUGUGAAGAUGCAGUGUACCCGCGGCAAGACGGAAAGACCCCGUGAACCUUUACUAUAGCUUGACACUGAACAUUGAGCCUUGAUGUGUAGGAUAGGUGGGAGGCUUAGAAGUGUGGACGCCAGUCUGCAUGGAGCCGACCUUGAAAUACCACCCUUUAAUGUUUGAUGUUCUAACGUUGACCCGUAAUCCGGGUUGCGGACAGUGUCUGGUGGGUAGUUUGACUGGGGCGGUCUCCUCCUAAAGAGUAACGGAGGAGCACGAAGGUUGGCUAAUCCUGGUCGGACAUCAGGAGGUUAGUGCAAUGGCAUAAGCCAGCUUGACUGCGAGCGUGACGGCGCGAGCAGGUGCGAAAGCAGGUCAUAGUGAUCCGGUGGUUCUGAAUGGAAGGGCCAUCGCUCAACGGAUAAAAGGUACUCCGGGGAUAACAGGCUGAUACCGCCCAAGAGUUCAUAUCGACGGCGGUGUUUGGCACCUCGAUGUCGGCUCAUCACAUCCUGGGGCUGAAGUAGGUCCCAAGGGUAUGGCUGUUCGCCAUUUAAAGUGGUACGCGAGCUGGGUUUAGAACGUCGUGAGACAGUUCGGUCCCUAUCUGCCGUGGGCGCUGGAGAACUGAGGGGGGCUGCUCCUAGUACGAGAGGACCGGAGUGGACGCAUCACUGGUGUUCGGGUUGUCAUGCCAAUGGCACUGCCCGGUAGCUAAAUGCGGAAGAGAUAAGUGCUGAAAGCAUCUAAGCACGAAACUUGCCCCGAGAUGAGUUCUCCCUGACUCCUUGAGAGUCCUGAAGGAACGUUGAA
rnacentral:rRNA from 1 species